UAGGUUUCCCCCUGUAAUUAGAGGCAAGCGGAACCAGUAUUAGCAGGUGAUUAAACGGAUAUAGCACUUCCGCAUGUAAUCCGAAACAUUCUAUCAUCCAGGCCUGUUUUUUGGUUCUUUUCAUUCGUUAUACCAAUAGUUUUCCUGAAAUAAUAACGUCGCCACCUGCGCUGUGGCUUUGCUAACUAGCAAUUCAGCAGCCAUACCUGAGGAAAGGGAGGGGUAAGAAUAUGGGGGACGAAAAUACAAAAGGCCCAUCGCUGUUGGACAAUUGAUUCGUGUCCUGCCCCCACAAUUUGUUCCAUCCUAUUGCACAAAUCUCCAAGGAAUAUCCUUAGGCGUUUGGAGAAUCGAAUGUAGGGAAUCCGAAAUCCGUUUUAACCUUACCAACUUAGUAGCGUGCUAACUUUCACGGU